CGGGACGGGUGAGUAAUGUCUGGGAAACUGCCUGAUGGAGGGGGAGUAACUACUGGAAACGGUAGCUAAUACCGCAUAACGUCGCAAGACCAAGAGGGGGACCUUCGGGCCUCUUGCCAUCAGAUGUGCCCAGAUGGGAUUAGCUAGUAGGUGGGGUAACGGCUCACCUAGGCGACGAUCCCUAGCUGGUCUGAGAGGAUGACCAGCCACACUGGAACUGAGACACGGUCCAGACUCCUACGGGAGGCAGCAUG
rnacentral:rRNA from 1 species